GCCCAGCCAACCUCCUUCCCCCGGGAUGUUUCUCAGGGAAAGGCUUCCCGCGGCCUGUCGAGGUCCUGAGGGUUGUCACCAGCCAAGUUUCCAGACCCCAAGGGGGAGCCUGGGUUUGCACGGAAGGAGGGAGAGGGUCUCUGGACAUCACGUUCCUGAGGCCGGUGGACAGCCAGGCGAGGCACGUUCCAGGACCCUGUGGUGGAAGGAGAGGACUCCUGUUAAAGUUAGCCUCUGAUUUCCACGUGUGCACUGUGGCACACCCCAAAUAAAUAAAU